rnacentral:lncRNA from 1 species
AGAUCUUCUCGCUCAUUUCAUGCAGCAGUUUACGCUCAUCUAGCACAAUAGUCCCCAAACUGUGAUUCACGGCAUGCUAGAUUUACACAAAAAUGAAGCCUUUCAAGAUACAGCUGGUUCCAGAAAUACUUCCUAUUAUGUGGACCUCCUGGAGAUGCACAAUGUACCACAGACUCUGAGCAGCCCUGCGGAGGGCCCAGAAGACCAAAAUGCAUUGGCGAGGAGAGCACCAGCAUCUUGAAAAGCAAUUUCGUGACUGAUUUCCAUAAACCAAUGAUGCAAUUGGAUGCAGCUGAAAUGGGAUCCUUGAUUUUAAUGGAAAAGGAAAGAUACCAGAAUGGAAGAAGCUGAUUUCAGGCACUCAACUGCCAAAGGAAUUAGAAUUCCUUGUCCACUUCAGGCUGGUUGAGACCACCAACUCAUCGACUGGGCCCGCGCAGAUGUCCAAUAGGCGACCUUUUGACGACAAGAGAAUAAAACCUGCACCCUCAGAUCAUGCUAACGCCGCCAUUUUGUGAACAUGGGUCCUAUGAAGAGGCAAGAAGUCUGACUACACAGACUAUCACCUCCAAUCACCUCUCUCCACAUUUCGGACCACCUUGCCCCCCAUCCCAUAAAUAUCCCUGAGUCCCUAUUUUCGGGGAAGCGAAUUUGAGGCUCAUGUUCUCGCUUCCUCGUGUGGCUGCCUUGUGAGUAAACCCUCUCUCUGCUGCAAUCUCAUUGUCCUGGUGUUUGGCUUUCUGGGCGGUGGGCAAAAACGAACCUGGUUCAGUAACAAAAGCAGACAGGUUCCAAGAACCAACACUAUUUGCAUUUUGCUGGUGCACGUGAGUGUGGUUCAAAUCAGGUGGCUUUCCAAAAAAUUUUGCUCAUUUAUUUUUUUCUGAAAGUAUAAUCGCUCUAAUGUGUUGCAUUUACAUAGCGCCUUUCAUCGCGCACCAUCUCAAAUGUUU